UGAGCAACCUGCCCCUGGCUCUGGGAUAACCCCGGGAAACCGGAGCUAAUACCGGAUACGAGACCGAUUGGCAUCUUUACGGUCUGGAAAGUUUUUCGGCCAGGGAUGGGCUCGCGGCCUAUCAGCUUGUUGGUGGGGUAGUGGCCUACCAAGGCGACGACGGGUAGCCGGCCUGAGGAGGGUGACCGGCCACACUGGGACUGAGACACGGCCCAGACUCCUACGGGAGCA
rnacentral:rRNA from 1 species